UUGGAUUACGCCCUCUGACACCUCGCGAU
rnacentral:sRNA from 1 species